rnacentral:rRNA from 3 species
GGUAAUGCCGGAUGUUCCAGUUGAUCGCAUGGUCUUCUGGGAAAGCUUUCGCGGUAUGGGAUGGGGUCGCGUCCUAUCAGCUUGACGGCGGGGUAACGGCCCACCGUGGCUUCGACGGGUAGCCGGCCUGAGAGGGCGACCGGCCACAUUGGGACUGAGAUACGGCCCAGACUCCUACGGGAGGCAGCAGUGGGGAAUAUUGCACAAUGGGCGCAAGCCUGAUGCAGCGACGCCGCGUGAGGGAUGGAGGCCUUCGGGUUGUAAACCUCUUUUAUCGGGGAGCAAGCGAGAGUGAGUUUACCCGUUGAAUAAGCACCGGCUAACUACGUGCCAGCAGCCGCGGUAAUACGUAGGGUGCAAGCGUUAUCCGGAAUUAUUGGGCGUAAAGGGCUCGUAGGCGGUUCGUCGCGUCCGGUGUGAAAGUCCAUCGCUUAACGGUGGAUCCGCGCCGGGUACGGGCGGGCUUGAGUGCGGUAGGGGAGACUGGAAUUCCCGGUGUAACGGUGGAAUGUGUAGAUA